rnacentral:rRNA from 1 species
CUAAGUUUGAUGGCGACCGGCGCACGGGUGAGUAACACGUAUCCAACCUGCCGAUGACUCGGGGAUAGCCUUUCGAAGGAAAGAUUAAUACCCGAUGGCAUAGUUCUUCCGCAUGGUAGAACUAUUAAAGAAUUUCGGUCAUCGAUGGGGAUGCGUUCCAUUAGGUUGUUGGCGGGGUAACGGCCCACCAAGCCUUCGAUGGAUAGGGGUUCUGAGAGGAAGGUCCCCCACAUUGGAACUGAGACACGGUCCAAACUCCUACGGGAGGCAGCAUG